GACGAACGCUGGCGGCGUGCUUAACACAUGCAAGUCGAACGGAAAGGCUCCAGCUUGCUGGAGUACUCGAGUGGCGAACGGGUGAGUAACACGUGGGUAAUCCGCCCUGCACUCUGGGAUAAGCCUGGGAAACUGGGUCUAAUACUGGAUAUGACCUUUCUCCUUAUGGGGUUUGGUGGAAAGUUUUUCGGUGUAGGAUGAGCCCGCGGCCUAUCAGCUUGUUGGUGGGGUGAUGGCCUACCAAGGCGACGACGGGUAGCCGGCCUGAGAGGGUGAUCGGCCACAUUGGGACUGAGAUACGGCCCAGACUCCUACGGGAGGCAGCAGUGGGGAAUAUUGCACAAUGGGCGGAAGCCUGAUGCAGCGACGCCGCGUGAGGGAUGACGGCCUUCGGGUUGUAAACCUCUUUCAGCAGGGACGAAGCGUAAGUGACGGUACCUGCAGAAGAAGCACCGGCUAACUAUGUG
rnacentral:rRNA from 1 species